rnacentral:rRNA from 1 species
CGUGUAGGUGGAUUGGUGUGUCAGAUGUGAAAGCCCUGGGCUCAACCCAGGAACUGCACCUGAAACUACCAGUCUUGAGUGGUGGAGAGGGAAGUGGAAUUCCUGGUGUAGAGGUGAAAUUCGUAGAUAUCAGGAGGAACACCAGUGGCGAAGGCGGCUUCCUGGACACCAACUGACGCUGAGACGCGAAAGCGUGGGGAGCAAACAGGAUUAGAUACCCUGGUAGUCCACGCCGUAAACGAUGGGCACUAGGUGUCGCAGGUUUUGACCCCUGCGGUGCCGUAGCAAACGCGUUAAGUGCCCCGCCUGGGGAGUACGGCCGCAAGGCUAAA